rnacentral:lncRNA from 1 species
UUUUUUGUAAAUUUUAUUACAAUGUGCCAAAGUAAAAACAAACUUUGGACGUGAGGUUACAAGGAUAUUAAAAUAAUUAAGUCACAAGAUCAAUAAAUGGAGGAUAUCCACACGCAUUAGCAUUUUAAUGAAGACCAAUUUCAUUAAAAUCUCAUAGCAUUAACUCUACCACCACAAACUAGCCGCAAAAUAAAUCCAAAUCAUAUUUAAGUGCAAAAAUUCAUCUAAGCCGCCAAUCACCAACAACUGAGAAAAGAGAAUACAAAAACCUGUCCAGCCAAGCCAAGACACCAAUUACUUGAUAGCAGAAAGAAUGGAUGUCAACCAAGGAUACAGAAUUUGAGAUUCUAUCUUUUGAUGGAUUGUUUGUAUCUGUAACUUCAGGGUAGGGUCCUUGCCAUUUCGUGUUCCAUUUUGUUACAGAAUGAGUUUGUUGGUUAUGACUUAUAAGACAUCCUGCAACCAGCUGCUAAAUUUGGCAUGAAAAAACAAAAAUGUGUGUGUAUAUCCCUUUUCUGUAAUUAAGUUUUUGGGCUACUUAUCCUCGACUGCAAUGAUGGGAAAGACACUUUCAGAGCAUUGAUUAAGGCUAGUAAGAAAUUCAUGGCAAUUUGGAGUAAGUUAUUUCCCAGCAAAUGAAGAAAAAGAAGCUUAUUCUUCCAAAGCUUGUUAGUCCAACAACCUUACGAAGGACUAGAGGAUUGAAUAUUUGAGUACAAAGAGCACAAGGUUCUGUUGCAAAUCAUGGCAUUUGGAUGUUUGAUUCUGCCUCUGAGGAUGUCCGGUUCUUGGAUUCAGGUUGUCGAAUGUCCUCUAUCAUUCUAACAAUUUCAUCCAUUUUCGGACGCAUUUCUGGUGUUUUUGCCACACAUGCUGCUGCAAUCUGAAGCAUCUGUACCAUCUCCUCUUGGAAAUGUUGGAAUCUCAACAGCUCCUCGUCAACCACUUCAGCAGUCCAUUCCUCCCGCACAACAGAACGGGCCCAUCUCGGAAGAUCAACCACAUCAUCAUGCCCUCAAGGCUGGAGGGGAGCUUCGGCAGUCAACACUUCCAGGAGGAGCACACCAAAGCUGUAAACAUCAGACUUUUGAGUUCCUUUGCGUGUUUCAAUCACAUCCGGAGCACGGUAUCCAAUGAUCCGUGCCAUGGUUAUCUCUCCCUCUCUGAGUAAAAGCAAUAAAUAAAUAAAUGAGUAGGGUGUAUCUCUUUCUCUGAGUAAAAGAAAGAGUUUUAGGGUUUGCUUGGCAGCCGCUAGAUGUAUUAAGAUGAUAAGAGCUCCUCAAACAGUAGCCGUGAGCUAGCUAGGGAUUAUCAUCUGAGCCUUGGCUUCCGCCCUGUCACCGGUUAGACAAAUUUUCUUUUUAAAAAAUAAAAAGUUGAAAAGUGUGUCAUGUAUUUUUUUUUUUUAUCAAUUUGCUCUCUAUAUUCAAAAUUUAAUCAAUUCAAUCCUUUAAAUUUUAAAAUUUGAACAAUUUCAUCCCUCCCCUCCCCUAAGUAGGUGAAAAUUUAUUAAAAAUAUCAAACUUCCAAAUACAGCUCAAACCCGAGCUGAGCUGGAUGCAUUUGAAUCUUUAUAUGCAUCAAAUUAUGAGAUAAAUUAAUGAUCAUGUCCAAUGCAAGAUUACUAGCAAUCUCCCCAAAUGCUCAUUUAAAUCAUUCCAUUUAAGAUUCUCCUCACCUGAGUUUCACAAUUCUCAAUGUGUCUAAUGACAUUGUUCGAUUCAUUUCCCUGAAUGCACCGAAGCCCAAAGAUGAACAACCAGGGCAGGGCCUGGCCUGAAAAGAAAACAAUCUACAAACAGACACAAGUUCAUCUAAGCACCACCAAAACCACACCCUUGAAUUCUACUGCAAACGGCAUGCCAAACAACAUUAGCCAUAUUUGGAUUCAGUAACAAUGUAACCAACCAGAGUCUUGCUUGAAAGUAACAUUGGCAGGCAGCUUGACCUGGGUUGCUGUUAUGUGCAGGAUGCAUAGGUUUCAAUUUUUGUCUUGUAUCUGGGGUCUUGAAGGAGUAUUGGAGGUGUAUACUUGUCAUCAAUGUAAGGGUAUAUUGCCCAAUACCUCUCUCUGUGGGAUGUUUUGGUUUCUGUUGGUCCCCAUGGAGGGAAUAAAUUCAUUUCCUCUCUUCUAAUGAAAGCAGCUUGAUAAUUAAAAAACAAAAAGCAUGUAACUGUUUUGGUUGGUAGUCAAGGAUGUUUCAAGCUAACAUGAUAAACAGACAGACUUAAUACAUACUCCAAACUUUCCUGCUUCCUUUCAUAUUACUAACUAUUUCUUCACAGAGCAGAGGUUCAAAUUCUGCAUAUAAUUGUUUGGGGAAAUCAUUUUUUCAUUUUUAAAUUUAAAAUUUUCUGUAACCAAGACAUCUAUUGCAAGUGCUGUUCAAACUGUAAUUACAUGCAGGAACUAGGAAACAAGUAUUUUGCUGAGAGCUAGCUAGAAAAAACCUAUGGUGUCAACUCAACACCUGCUUGCCACAUUUGCAAUUGCUGCUAUCUUCUUUGGGAGUUCUACCUUGUCAUCACCUACAAAUUUAUCCACCUGCCGUCCAUCUUUAAGAAAAAAGAAAGUCGGAGUAGCAUUGAUAUCCCACGAAGUGCUCAACUCCUGUAUAGUAAUAGGAUCACGCAGCAUAAGUCAUCAAGUUAUCUCUUACAGAUUGACUAGUAAUUCAAGGCAAUAAUCUGUACGAUUUUGAUGCAGUGUUAAAUGAUAGGGCUAACUGAUAUAAUUCUCUUUCUAGAAUGGUGACAGUUAAGGCACAGGGUCCGAAGAUAAAAAGACGUAGAAUUUCUUGCAUUUGAAGGAAGAAAAUACGGUUUCAUAUACAGGGAAGAGUCAUGUUAUGCACAAAGUAUCUUUUGUGGAAAGCUUUACAAGAUAAGAAGAAACGUGUUUUUAACUUACAGCAAGCUCAUCGACAUCCACAGUUAGAAACAUGAGAGAAGAGUAUUUAUCUGCAAGCUCGCAGUAGGUUGGUGCUAUUGAUCUGCAAGGACCAGACCAUAGUGUACUGAAAUUUGCAACAAGCUGUUGGAGGAAUGUCAAAUGUAAGAAAAUUAGACCGGUACAAAGUGAAAAAUGAAAAAUUUGAAUGGCUCAAAAUGGUUAUAGUUGCAUAUCAGUAUUUCGAUGUCCACCAUUAGCAUAUAUAUGGCAUUAUGAUCCAGGAGAACUGAGAAAAAAAUGACGCAGGGAAAAGCAACAAUGAAAAGACAAUAGAAAAACCAUCCUGCCUACUGUAAGUUUCAUGGCUCAAAUAAAGCUAGAGAAUCUCAGAUGGAUUCCAAAGAGCAAUACAUUGCAACUUUAUGCAAACCACUGGAGAACUGACAAUGUAGUAAGAAAAUAUGAUAUCAUCAGCAUGCUAGGGACACAUGUUCUGAGAUGUCCGGAGGAAUAGUACUAAACAAGUGUAUUUCUGAUAUGCAGGGGAAUAGGCCAAGAAGCUCUUCGAAGAUAUAACAUAAAAAGGACAAAAUGAAGACACUUGAUGCAUAUCAAUGAUCAAUCAUUUUUUAUCUGUCCAAUGGUGAAACAUAGUACUAAGCAAGUGUAUUUCCGAUAUUGAGAUGCUACUGUACUUGUAUUUGCAUAAUUUAGACAUGCUGUAUUGACCUAGAAAUCGUGAUUUAGAGCUUGCAAUCAUGAUUUACAUUUUGCACCAGUUGAAAAUGUCAUGACAUUUAUAAACUUACUAUCUUUCCAUCCCUGGUUGCUUCUGUUAGUUUUGCCUCCCAGCUCUGAAUGGUAGUUAUAUGGUGAACGUUUCUGCAGGCAAGCCCCACACACCGAGCCUGAUGAUCCUUACAAUCUUUAUUAUGACAUUUGAAGAACUGCAAGAACUGUGCACCAGAAGUGAUUUAACAAUGAUUAUGGAAUAUUUGUAUAUAUACACCAUAUUUACCAUCAAAAAUCAUCUGAAGCAUGAUUUCAUGGCUUUGACUGAUAUAAGUAUUAAGAAUUGGAACCAGGAAACUUCAGAUUAGAAACCAUAAUAACCCAAGACCUAAGAAGUAAGAAUACCACAUAGGAAAAGCACAUCAAUGAUAAAAGUAGUCUUGUUUUCACAAAGAAACACAUAGGUUAAUACAUUAUUUGAAACAAAGCUUUUAAGAAACCAAAGGCAUUCCUGUCAACUGCAGGCAGUUAUAAUAUGGAAAAGACAGUCUGUAAGGUAUUUGUCAAUAAAUACAAACACAAAGGAUUUGUUGUCAAACUUCUGGAAGUCUCCUGCUGCAGUUACUGAACUAACCAUUAGAAGUGACCAGCUUCAUGCUAAAAGUAAAGAAGCCAUGAUUGACUACAUAUCAAUCUAUUUUAUUUAUCCAGGUCAAGUGAAAGGAAAAUGAAACAAAAAAGGGAAAGAAAGAAGAAUUGGGAGAAGGCAACACUCUUUCAAAGGAAAUUCAUAUGUAGAAGCUUUUGGAAGUGGACGCAGCCUGUAAAGAUGUAAGAAGAAAAAGGCAAACUAGAAUUUACAUCAAAAGCAUUCUUUUUGGCCUUGUACACAGCUUGCUUUGAACGAGUCACCUUGGUCCAACGAUGUCCCAUCUGCCCAACUGACCCCUGUUAAUUGAAGUUACAAGAGGCCCCUGAAAAUAUGAUAAAAUCAGAUUGCAUGGAUUAUUUCGUUAUGACUGAAAGAGAGGAACUCUGCUAUGAUAAUAGUAACAUUAUAGUUCUAAUGAAUCCUACAUGUAAGAAGGGGAAAACCAAAAGAUCAAAUCUUCACCAUUGUUGAUUUCAAAGCUCGAAGAUCCUCUAAUAUCCUCAUAUAUUCUGCAUUACAAUCCCUGGAAAAGAUUCCUCUAUUGGUUAUUCUGUCUACCUUUUCCCUAGAGUUUGGUCCAACAAAACGCAUAUUGCACUGCUGGAAAUAUUCAUCAAGAACAAUGUGCCACCUUACCAGCCUAAUGUAAAUGGAAGCUGUUUCUCCUUCUCAGUUCAGUUUCAAUUCAAUGGAGAUUUAGCAAUGAAAGGAAAAUAAAAAGUUUGCGAGAAAUCUUUAUAAAUAUGAUGCAAAUAAAAAUUUUGCAGCAAAGUUGAUUAUCAUUGUAUGAUGAAUAAAUGACAGGAAAAAAGGCUUACCUUGGGAUCCUUUGGAUUUGAUAUUCUUUAUAAUCAAAUCAUUUUCAAGGAAACCAUGGGAUUGCAGCCUUUCAUGCCAAAAAGGGAAAAGAGAGCUGAAAAUGAAAAGAACUUGGAGGAGGAAGAAAUGGAAGAACCAAUGGAUGUCAACCGAGGAUAUAGAAUUUGAGAUGCUAUCUUUUGAUGGAUUGUUUCUAUCUGUAACUCCAGGGUCUUUGCCAUUUCAUGCUCCAUUUUUUGACAGAAUGAGUUUGUUAUAACUUAUAAGAGAUCCUGCAACUAACUGCUAAAUUUGGCAUGAAAAAACAAAAAUGUCUAUUUUCUUCAUCUUAGAUAUCCCUUUUCUGUAAUCAAGUUUUUGGACUAAUUAUCCUGUACUGCAAUGAUGGAAAAGACACUUUCAUCACAAGAUUAUGGUUUCACAGCAUUGAUUAAAGCUUGUAAGAAAUUCAUGGCAAUUUGGAAAUAGUUAUUUCCAAGCAAAUGAGGAAAAAGAAGCUUAUUCUCCCAAAGGUUGUUAGUCCAACAACCUUAUGCAGGACUAAAGAAUUGAACAUUUAAGUACAAAGAGCACAAGGUUUGCUGCAAAUCAUGGUGUUUGGAUGUUUGAUUCUGCCUCUGAGGAUGUCCGGUUCUUGGAUUCAGGUUGUCGAAUGUCCUCUAUCAUUCUAACAAUUUCAUCCAUUUUCGGACGCGUUUCUGUUGUUUUUGCCACACAUGCUAGUGCAAUCUGAAGCAUCUGUACCAUCUCCUCUUGGAAAUGUUGGAACCUCAACAGCUCCACAUCAAA